AACGAACGCUGGCGGCAUGCCUAACACAUGCAAGUCGAACGAGACCUUCGGGUCUAGUGGCGCACGGGUGCGUAACGCGUGGGAACCUGCCCUUAGGUUCGGAAUAACUCCCCGAAAGGGGUGCUAAUACCGGAUAAUGUCUUCGGACCAAAGAUUUAUCGCCUUUGGAUGGGCCCGCGUUGGAUUAGCUAGUUGGUAGGGUAAAAGCCUACCAAGGCGACGAUCCAUAGCUGGUCUGAGAGGAUGAUCAGCCACACUGGGACUGCGACACGGCCCAGACUCCUACGGGAGGCAGCAGUAGGGAAUAUUGGACAAUGGGCGAUAGCCUGAUCCAGCAAUGCCGCGUGAGUGAUGAAGGCCUUAGGGUUGUAAAGCUCUUUUACCCGGGAUGAUAAUGACAGUACCGGGAGAAUAAGCUCCGGCUAACUCCGUG
rnacentral:rRNA from 1 species